rnacentral:misc_RNA from 1 species
GAUGAAGAACGUAGCGAAAUGCGAUAAGUAAUGUGAAUUGCAGAAUUCAGUGAAUCAUCGAAUCUUUGAACGCACAUUGCGCCCAUUAGCAUUCUAGUGGGCAUGCCUGUUCGAGCGUCAUUUCAACCCUUAAGCCCUGUUGCUUAGCGUUGGGAGCCUACAGUACUGUAGCUCCCCAAAGUUAGUGGCGGAGUCGGUUUCACACUCUAGACGUAGUAAUUUUUUCUCGUCUGUAGUUGAGCCGGUCCCCUGACGUAAAACACCCAAUUUAUCAAGGUUGACCUCGGAUCAGGUAGGAAUACCCGCUGAACUUAAGCAUAUCAAUAAGCGGAGGA